UAUUCUGACCCUUGGGCUCUGUUCUAGUUAGACUAAAUGAGAACAUCUAUUAUACAUGAAAAUUGUUUGCCGAGGGAGUAGGAGAGGCCAAAAGCAAACAUUAUUAAUCCACUAAACAUUACUGUACUGCAGCCAAGUUUGUAACAAACACAGCAGCAGGGGUGGUUGUUUGCUAUAAAUUGCCCUGCAAUCAUUUCCACAAGCCAAGGCUCGGUCCCAGCACGCCUGACACGCUGGUGGGGCGCAGGAAAUGCAGACACAGCCUCCCAAAUCCAACCCCCCCACACCAGGGCAUCUCCUGCAAGGACAGGACUCUGCCUCCCUGACACUGCUCAAAAAGCCUGGCUGGUUCUUCUGUAAACCCCUGUAUCCCUGAGGUUCCUUCCCUAACGCUGGAAUUGUGUGUCAGUAGGACAGUGGUUUGCUGUGUUAGAACAGUGCAAUUUUACACAAAGUUAAUGCAAGAGGUCAAAGGAAUAGUUAUUGAAGAAAAGCUAAAAAAUAGAAAAAAAAAAACAAACUUGAAGGCUUAAAAAUUUAAACUGUGUGAAGUUUAAUUCCAGCUGAGCAAUUACAGUACUGGAGAACAGGCAGAGGCACGGCAGCCUGAGCCCACUUCACAGGGCAGCCUUUGUGGUGGAAUUGCUUCUGGUGUCUCCACAGCAACUGAACAUACCCUGAGCUCUCAUGAUGGGAGUGCUGAGCAAUGUAUUGGAGAAUUUCUCCAGGACUCGGGGGCUCCAUGCCAGCUGCCUGCCAGCAAGUCAAAGGAAGCUUUGGGAGCAGUUUCUCUGAGCUGGGAACCUUCUUUAAGGCAUUCUAAUUUAGCCUGGUGCUUUGCCUUGUCACAGGGGUCUGCAGGAAUACUUCUGACUAAUGAAAUGCUCAGUAACAUCAUUGUGAGAAAUUUUUUUAAUGUAUCAAAGCAUCCUUGGCGUUAUUAGCAUAGCCACAUAAUUACCUGCAGAGAAACUUACACCCAUAUGUUAACGCCCAUAAAUUAUUGUACAGAUUUCUUUUAUACCUUUAUUUUCAGUUUCUGGGAAGGAUACAUCACUGGGUACUUAAUAUAGUCAUUGCUUCAGCACAUGUAAGCUGCCCAUGCCUGCAGUAAAAUGUUCAGGAGGCAGAGUGGUGCUGGCAGCGUCAUCGGAAAGCUCAGGAAGCCAAAGCCUAACUGUGCUCAGGGUGUGAUGCAAGAAUAUGAUGCGCCUCUUUAAUUUCACAAGAGGUUUCUUAAAAAGACAGGAAUUAAAAAAUGAGAACGGAGAUGAACAAAUUUGUGUUAGGCUGAGAAAAAUUUGUGUUAGUAUGAGAAAAAACCCUUUGAAGCAGGGAAAAAAUUCUUCAUAGUAAAAGUAGAGAGCCUGAUCUGAAAUUCCAAGCUAGGAUAGCAAUAUCAGUGCAUUGUAGAUAUCCUGAUACCCUGAGUUGCUAGCCAUAUGUGUCACAUAUCUGACACUUUUUUAUUUAGACUGAAGAUACCAGAUUAUAGAUCUAAUCUUCUGAAUUUUCUCAUAAUCCUCACAAAUUUGGCAUGAAUGCUGUAAAAGAAGUGGUGUUUGAACCAAGAAAUCAGUUGUAGCAGUUCUAGAUCUUGGAUUCAGACAGAAUAAUAAAAUUUUUUGUAUGCUUAUCUUUAUGGUCUUUAAAUGAUAUAUCCCAGUACUGAGAGUAUGCUAUAAUAUGCAUAUAUGAUAAGUUCAUUUUACUAAAACUGUUAACUACAAAACAUUAGGACUUGACAAAUAUAUCUUGCUUUUUAUAAAGAGCUGUGUUACACUUUUACUCAAGGUAUUUUAGUAAGUCCUUUUGAUUUUAUUUUUUUCCAUCUGCAUUUGCUUGACAUUUCUAUACAAGGUAUCUGCUGACUAUUCUGGUUCUUUGUAAGUGGGAUAAAAGUAAGGAACAUUCUUCCCCUCCUUUGAUCACUUUGUAUCCUAGGAACUGCAAACUGAUGUUCAAAUGUUCAAAGCUUACAGGAGCAGAGCAUAGUAUUUAAUGUUGCAUGCUGGAGUGCUGGCAAUUGCUACAAGUGGUUCACUGUAGUACAGUAGUUUCCAGCAUUGCCUCAUUUAUUAAUCAUAGAAAUGUUGCAUGCAAAUUAGCCAGAGAGUUGUGCAUCAUAAUACAGUAAUCCAAAAAUCUGUCUUCACAUGUAUUAAUGCUGCAAAUUUCUCACAUUAUAGCACUGCAUGGUUUCUCCAUUACAUUCCAAAACAUGCCAAAAGCUCACUAAAAGCUGUGUCACCGAGUGUUUUCUUCUUGUUGCUUACUUAUGACUUUCUAAAGUGUGAGAGUAUUUAGCUCCAGGGCACUUUUGUGUCUGCCAUUUUCCAGGGUUCUUUUUUGGGCUAAUGUUCAGUCAGCCAAAUAUCAAUAUUUAUCUUGCUAUAAUGCAGUUUAAAAAUGUAUUUUUUCACUGGUAGGAACAUGGUAAGCACCACGGUCCUCUACUUCAGCGCAACUUCAGAAACUCUUCCCUGCUCUGAAAGCUGCUCCAUUUCACAUCCUGACCUUGUAAAUCCUAGGCACUGUGCAAGGAAAAUCUCAUCUUUUAAUCUCUCGCUUUCUAAUUACUCCAAAUAUUUUUUCCAGGAAGGUCAAGGUGAGAAUGAAGGAACUGAAAAUUUUGCACAGAACAUUUUGCAAAGAAAAAAACACUUCACAGCAGAGAGGGAAAAUUUGUGCAGUUGUAUUCCCAGCCGCUCACUAACCUGCCAAAAGAUGGGAAUAAACAGAGAAAUGGCAGCACAAAUGGUUUGCAGGACAAAGGAAGAAGAGAGAACAAAACAACUGAAGGCAAGCAAGAAAGGGGAAGCAAGGGAAGAGCAGAAGGAACAUUAUAAUGGUCAACACCAAGGGACUCGGAGACCUUGUGUGGUGGGACAGAGAAACUCUUGGAGUUAGCUGUGCGAAAAUCCAGUUAACAGGAUGUUUCAUUUGCUAUGGUAGUUACCUAACAUUUAAGGAUUUUACAGAUACAGUCUCCAAAGGCUACAACACAGAGAUAAAAGCAAAAGGCAUAAACUGAAGUGACUUAGCCAAGUGGUAAAAAACCACAGCGCAAACCAACACCCGAGAAAGUCAUUGCCUCUCUGUUUCCAAACCUGCAAGAGGUGGGGUAAGGCAAAAACUUUAAUAAAGGAAUAGGUCUGCUGCAACAAAGGAAACAACAGCAAAAAUCAGAGACAAGGACACAUCCUCACCCCAUUAAUAUCAGCGGGAAUUUGCCUUCAUCUUCAGUGGGAACAGAACUUCAAAGACACGGGAAUCACCCAUACAACCCGAAGGGUAAAACCUGAACCUUCCAUAGUGUCUGACACAAGCUGUGUUUGAGGGUGGUGGGAUAGUCCUGACAUGACAAAAAUGUCCCCAGCAGGAGUUGCAUGACCUUGGCCUGACCUUGUCCCUGGCACUGGCAGGUGGUGUUAGGACAGACCUCAGAGAGCCUCGUGCCUUGACAGAAGAACUUCUCUGAGGCACAUGAGCUGGGCACAGGUGAAGCUCCUGUCUCUCUCUGUUCAUGACGGCAUUUUCAGUGCUCAAAUCAGGAAGAAGUGAUAUCCCACCUUUAUAGGUACAUUUUUUUACAUCUCAGUAGCUUAAGAUAUUCAUUCAAAACCUGUCUCUGGCAGAAUGAAAGCUGUGUCUCCUCAGUCCUGCUUUGUGUUGUUUGACCUGAAGAAGAUGAGUGGUGUGGAUAUAAAGAAUAGUUUCUUCUCUAGGAAGAAUUAAGGUCUCCCUUAAAGACUAAGAACAUAUUUUGGGUGCACAUGGCCUGCUAAAUGCUGGGAAUGGGGGAAAACCAGGAUGAGGGAGCUCCUUCGUGGAUAUCUCUGCAGGUCUUGUUCUGGUACUCGAUAGAAAUUCAAAGAACAGAGGUACUAACAGCAGAAUUAGUUUUCCUGUCCUUCCUUUGAAUGAUUCUUUGUGCUUCUUCCAUUCCUGGGAAUGCAUAGUAUGACAUGGUAUCAAGUCCCUGGAUGAAAAUAUGUAUAAUGUACAACCUGGGGAGGUUGCUACACUCUUGAUGAGUUUAUUUGCUCCUUGUAGACCUACAUUAGCUCUGUGAGAAAAAUUCCCUUUCUGUCCCUCAUUAUUUACUGGUCACCAAAAUAAGUCUGACAAAUAGACUCUUUCAAAUAAACCAGAUUCCAAAGAACAGUAGGAAAACAUUCCAUGGGAGUGUGUACCCUAACUAAGGCCUCUCCAUUGAUUUCUAAUUAUAUUUCAUGUUUUGUAUGGUGUUUGCACGCCAGACCACUGCAGCCAUAUCUGGAAAGCAAUGGCAAGCACUUUAAGAAAGGCCCCUUUAAAACAGAUGUGUUUAACAAACGUUUUUAUGUUGGUGACUUUACAUUUACAUUUACAAUGAUUUUAUGUUGCUGGGUGUAAAGAGUUCUAUGGACAACCUUUAAUAAACCCAUAAAUUUGACUACAAGCUCAUGCAUGUUUUCCAUACAUUAAAUUUCUUAAGGAAUCUGAAGCCUCUCCUGGAAAACUAUAAGAAUAUUUCAAAACCUGUGCUUUUUACAAGUCAGACCCAUAUUGUAUGUCAAAAAUGUACAGCUGGGAUUUUUUGAAAAAGCAAGCACUGCUCAGAUUUUCUAAGCUUGAGAGACCAGUUUUCAAAAGCUCUCUAGCAAGGCUAUUAUCUUACCAGCAUUACUUUGUCAGAAGAAUCUGUGAAAGGUUCAUCAGAAACACUGAGGGACCCAGAUCCUGAACAACAUUCCACCUUUCCUUACAUCGGUACCAGAUAAAGAUGAAGUAUAAAUCUCUUUAUCCUUUCUCAAUAUUUACUUGCUUGGGCAAUCAAGAGUUACUUUCCAUAUUCUGGUCACCAUGGCAGAGAAGCAGCAACUGUGAUCUGAUAAAAUUUCUAUUCAGUGACCUUGCUUCCCAGCAGAGGACUUCCUCGGAGAUUUGCUGGGCCCUUGUUCUUUCUGGAAUAUAUAUUCUGCUUCUUUAUUUUUAUAAGGCAAAAAUGCUCUCACAGUCAUUUUGUAGAAGAAUAAGAUUCAAAGGGAUGCAUCAGAGGUUACCACAAAGUAUUUGUGAAGAAGGAGACUGAGGACAGAACAGAUCUCCUGAAUCCCAUACUGGCACUACAGCACUGCACAUUUCCGUGUGAGGGUGAAUGGCAGAGGCCAUGGCCAGAUGCAUUUCAGCUGAUGGAUACAAUCCUGGGAUCAGAUUGAAUGCUGCCAUUUCUUUCCAGAUGUAUCUAAAAGUCACCUGGUGAAAUAAAAAACAGAGUCUGAACCUCCUGCCAAAGGUAACCAUGCCAUGCCUUCUCCUUCAUAAAUAAUUCCAUGCAAGCUUAGGAAAUAAAGUAUUUUUCCAAAUAGGGGGGAAAUGUGAUCAAUUUGGAAAUAGAGACAAAGGAAAUAUUAUUUUAGUUAAUCCUUCCUUGUCAAUGUGUAUGUAACUUUUACUGAAAUGUGCUUUUAAUUCUGUCCUCUGUCUCUUACUGCAGAGAACAGAGAUUGUCUCCAGCAUCAGUCUGUGUUGGGUAAAGCAUCAAACUUGUUGAACCAUAGAGACCAGGUAGAAGAGAUCUUGUGAUAAAAGGUCCCAUGUAAGACCAAAUUUCAUUAUGAGUGUCAUUUCUUUGUUCAGUCAAACCCUUGUGUAUCAGUCAGGAUUGGCUCUGACAAGCCUCCACUGUAAAAUUAUACAAAAGAGGCUGAAAUCUAGGCCACAGCUAGAAACAAUUCUUAGGAAGCUCUCUGGAUUUCCUGGAGGGUAAGGUGUGGCUUUGUGUGUGGGAGGUAAAUGCCAGUGUUUUUCUGUUACCAUUAAUUAUGUACAGCUUGAGUUUCAGUAAUCAGAGCUACAUAUGCAUGCUGGAAAAAAAGAGUUUAUCUUACACUGGGAUUAUACAUUCCAAGAUAAAUGUCUUACAUUGCUUUUAUCUUUGUUAUUUUGUGAUUAGCACUUUUAAAUGUCCAAAAGCAUGCACAUAUUUUAUCAACACAUAAGAAAAAAAUACAGUUACUGAGAGUUUGUAACAUAAAAGAGAAAGAAAUCUUGUACAUCUUCAUAUUAGUCCACCAGUCUGUCUAACAUUUUGGAACUACUUCUUGUACUAGCAUUUGUUUUUAUUAGCUUCAAUAAUUUUGCUUUUGAUGUUUUUUGUGAUCACUGCCAAAUACAGAAUAUGCUUUCCAGAAAGUUAUCCUGAAUAUAUAUUAUAUUAUAAUAUAUAAUAUUAUAUAUAUAUAAUAUUAUAUUAUAAUAUAUAUAUUAUAUAUAAUUAUAUAUAUUAUAAAUACUUCUCACUUAUUAGUAAUGCCAAGUAAAAAAUGAUCCCAACUAUUUUUCUCAAUUUAAAAUGUAAGGUAUAUACUAAGAGCCAAGUGUAAUAUAGCCAGACACUGAAAUGUAUUAAAACAGAGGAAUAUUUAAGCAGUAUUUUGCUUAUUCUCAAUAAAAUGUGUGUUGAUACCAUGGAGUUAAGAGCAGUCUUCAAGAGGAAGGGAAUGACAGUUUCACUUGACACCUUUUACUUUGUAAUAAAAUUAUCACCUUAUUUCUGUAGUAGCACCUACAAGUUAUGUUGCAAUAAUUUUGAACAAGGAGAAAAUUCUUCUCUAUCUGUGGGCAAACUGCAUGCAGAAAAAGAAUCAAAAUUUUUGGUUAUACCAAGCUCUAUUUAUUUCAGCAAAAUUAUUCCACUACUGCACAAAUACGCCUUAAUAUAAAAUAAAAGGAAUUUAAUAAAUAAAAUGAAAACACAAGGUGGCAUAUUCUGAGAAAUAGCUGCCUAGAAAUAAGUCAUACUCUAAUCUGGAUUAACUCCUUCUUUUUCCAUACAUGAAGGAGUUUUAUUAAGGCAGCCCAAGCUAUGUGUAAUUGCACCAGCAGAAAGAUACAAGCAUCACUUUCUGCGGAGAGAACCACACCUCCCAAGAAACACAAGUUUUUCUACAUACCCACAAGGUUGAUGAAAUGUUGCCAUUGACUGUCUUCCUUUUUACAAGGUAAUUCUUUAGAAAAGGGUAGAGAUUUCCGAAGCAGCACAAUGAAUUCAGUAAAAUACCAGGCUGGAAACAGUAGAUUCUUCUUCAGUACUUUGCCAUGGGUAACUAUUGGCUAAACUUCUCAAAAAGUCUAAAUGUGUCAAAAUACAACUUUAUUGUCCAUAGAAUUUGUAUUUGGGGAGGUAUUCCAGUUUUCUACACUGGACACUUGAAACUCUAGCAACUGCCAUUAUCUUUUUUUUUUUCCCCAGCUUAUAUAUAAUUAAUGCAUUAUCUAAUAUUUAUAAUCUGCUAACCAGAAAUGCUGACACACUUGUAGUAAAUCAAACACCCAGUACGAGCCAGGCCAAUCUGUCCAGAUUAAGAUAAUGGCCAGCUAUGCCAUCUUGAUAAGUCCUGUGGGAAGAAAUUAUUAUGUUGGUUAUAACCACAUGUUUACUACUGUGUUGACAUCCAUACAUAAAGUCAUUUUUUUAAAGUCAAAUGAGUUGAAAACUGGACACUCAUAUGCAGCAGAAUACGGAAUUUCCGUAAUUUUUAAAUAAUACAUUUGCAAGGGUUUUUUUGCAAGAAUUCCUUAUAAAAUGCCCUCUCUUUUAAAUCCUCUCUCCUUUGCUUAAUUCUUCCUUAGAUUAUGCAAAUAUUGCUCAGUCAGGGUUCCAAAAGCUUUGCUUCUUUUUCUUUCUCACGUGCACAUAGCCACACAGACGCUCUGGACGUUUGACACAGAGCACUUGAACACAUCACUACUCUUUGCACGGUUUCACCAAGAAGGUUGCACUAUGAGCUGCUGCAGCUUCAAGGAGAGCAGGAGGGGAGUGCCAGGGAGACACAGGUCUGUCAGCCUCACCUCUGUCCCCAGGAUGAGUCUGGAGCAAACACUGCUGGAACACAUUUCCUAGCACUUGAGGGACACAAAGGUGACUGAGAGCAGAUGGUGCAAUGUGGCUUUACCAAGGGCAAACCUUUGAUGGGAAGACUGGCUCAGCAGAGCAGUGCUUGCUGUUUACCCUGACUUCAGGGAGGCCUUCAGCAUGGACUCCCACAGUGUCCCUGCAAUCAAAUGGGUGAAAUAGGGAGUGGAAAAAUGUGUAAGGUGGAUGGAUGAUCAGCUGGGCUGUGCAGUGAAAUGGGUGUUCAUCAGCAGUGCUAACUCCACAUAAAAAGGAGGCUGGUUACUAAUGGUGUUCCUCAGGGACCCACACAGGGGCUAAAACUCUUAAUGUCCUUUUAAAUGGCAUUCUCAGCAUGUUCAGAUGUGAUACUUUUUGUGGGCAGGGGUGUCAGUACUCAGGAAGAUAAAGCUGCUAUUCAGAGGGGUCUUUGUUCUUUCUUGCCAUUGUUUGCUUUCUUAAACCUAGGACUUUUUACACAAAAGUGUGAAGAUUGUAAAGAACCUUUAAAAAGCAAGAGCACUACAGAAUGAAAACUAAAAAAAUUCAUUUGGUCCCCUUAUUGAC